GUGAUUGUGAAUCGUUGCCUUCAGUGCUGGCUGGCUCCCUCCAGCAAGUGCACGUUGGUGACUUUCAUCCAAAUACCCAUGUGAACCUUUGGCCUCUUGCUGGCUUCGGCUGACAGAGGAUUUUUACACACACACUCGAAUGUAAUGAAAACGUUUGUCGUGCGCAAGCACUAAUGUA
rnacentral:misc_RNA from 1 species